GCCGGGACUCUCCGCACGGCAGAGGAAGAUGAAGGUGGCGGUGCUCAGCCUGGCCCUGCUCUUCGCCGUCCUGCUCUGCACCCUGGAGGAUGCCCAGGCCUUCGAAGCAAGCGGAGGUUACUGCAUCGGGGGGGCAAUCGACUUCGGGCGAGUGAAGAGGGCUGCGGCCCCCCGGGCUGAGAAGCUGCUGGAGCUGGCGCGCCAGAGACGCAUGGCUGAGGCGGCCGAGGCCUAGG